UUCAUGGAGAGUUUGAUCCUGGCUCAGGACGAACGCUGGCGGCGUGCCUAAUACAUGCAAGUCGAGCGAAUCAUGAGGUGCUUGCACCUCUUGGUUAGCGGCGGACGGGUGAGUAACACGUGGGCAACCUGCCUGUAAGACUGGGAUAACAUCGGGAAACCGAUGCUAAUACCGGAUAAUUCUUUUCCUCUCAUGAGGAAAAGCUGAAAGUCGGCUUCUCGCUGACACUUACAGAUGGGCCCGCGGCGCAUUAGCUAGUUGGUGAGGUAACGGCUCACCAAGGCGACGAUGCGUAGCCGACCUGAGAGGGUGAUCGGCCACACUGGGACUGAGACACGGCCCAGACUCCUACGGGAGGCAGCAGUAGGGAAUCUUCCGCAAUGGACGAAAGUCUGACGGAGCAACGCCGCGUGAACGAUGAAGGCCU
rnacentral:ncRNA from 1 species